rnacentral:rRNA from 1 species
AUGGUUUGCCAAUUUCACAGAACCUACUCGAUGCGGCAUAAUGUAAUACUCCACUCCUUCUCCCAUGUUGAUGUAAAUAGCUCCCAAGCCGAGAGAAAAGGUAAAAAAAAAAAGAAGAAUACGCACUCCACACUGCAACACAGGUCUUCAUUUCACCUCAACAUAUAUUCUGUGUUUGACCUUGCCACACGCAUCUCAUGUUUAACCUCGACAUACAACUUGAAUAAUGUCACAGAUCGAUGGCAUCUGAAUUACACUGCUUUAGACCCAUAG